UGGGGAAUUUUGCGCAAUGGGGGAAACCCUGACGCAGCAACGCCGCGUGAGUGAUGAAGGCCCUUGGGUCGUAAAGCUCUGACAGAGGGAAAGAAGUGUGUGGUGGAUAAUACCCGCUGCACUUGACGGUACCCUCAAAGGAAGCACCGGCUAACUCCGUGCCAGCAGCCGCGGUAAUACGGAGGGUGCGAGCGUUGUUCGGAUUUAUUGGGCGUAAAGCGCGUGUAGGCGGUUUUAUAAGUCUGAUGUGAAAGCCCCGGGCUCAACCUGGGAAGUGCAUUGGAAACUGUAAGACUUGAGUACGGGAGAGGAGAGUGGAAUUCCCAGUGUAGGAGUGAAAUCCGUAGAUAUUGGGAGGAACACCGGUGGCGAAGGCGGCUCUCUGGACCGAUACUGACGC
rnacentral:rRNA from 1 species